CCUACGGGAGGCAGCAGUGAGGAAUAUUGGUCAAUGGACGAGAGUCUGAACCAGCCAAGUAGCGUGAAGGAUGACUGCCCUAUGGGUUGUAAACUUCUUUUAUAUGGGAAUAAAAUGUUCCACGUGUGGGAUUUUGUAUGUACCAUAUGAAUAAGGAUCGGCUAACUCCGUGCCAGCAGCCGCGGUAAUACGGAGGAUCCGAGCGUUAUCCGGAUUUAUUGGGUUUAAAGGGAGCGUAGGUGGAUUGUUAAGUCAGUUGUGAAAGUUUGCGGCUCAACCGUAAAAUUGCAGUUGAAACUGGCAGUCUUGAGUACAGUAGAGGUGGGCGGAAUGCGUGGUGUAGCGGUGAAAUGCUUAGAUAUCACGAAGAACUCCGAUUGCGAAGGCAGCUCACUGGACUGCAACUGACACUGAGGCUCGAAAGUGUGGGUAUCGAACAGGAUUAGAUUCCCCUGUAGUC
rnacentral:rRNA from 1 species